rnacentral:rRNA from 1 species
AGAACGAACGCUGGCGGCAUGCCUAACACAUGCAAGUCGAACGAGACCUUCGGGUCUAGUGGCGCACGGGUGCGUAACGCGUGGGAAUCUGCCCUUAGGUACGGAAUAACAGUGAGAAAUUACUGCUAAUACCGUAUGAUGUCUUCGGACCAAAGAUUUAUCGCCUAGGGAUGAGCCCGCGUAGGAUUAGCUAGUUGGUGGGGUAAAGGCCUACCAAGGCGACGAUCCUUAGCUGGUCUGAGAGGAUGAUCAGCCACACUGGGACUGAGACACGGCCCAGACUCCUACGGGAGGCAGCAGUGGGGAAUAUUGGACAAUGGGCGAAAGCCUGAUCCAGCAAUGCCGCGUGAGUGAAGAAGGCCUUCGGGUUGUAAAGCUCUUUUGCCCGGGAAGAUAAUGACUGUACCGGGAGAAUAAGCCCGGCUAACUCCGUGCCAGCAGCCGC